rnacentral:rRNA from 1 species
AUUGAACGCUGGCGGCAGGCCUAACACAUGCAAGUCGAGCGGAGCGGCGGACGGGUGAGUAAUGCCUAGGAAUCUGCCUGGUCGUGGGGGAUAACGUCCGGAACCGGUCGCUAAUACCGCAUACUAUCAGAUGAGCCUAGGUCGGAUUGGCUAGUUGGUGGGGUAAAGGCCUACCAAGGCGACGAUCCGUAACUGGUCUGAGAGGAUGAUCAGUCAAACUGGAACUGAGAAACGGUCCAGACUCCUACGGGAGGCAGCAGGGGGGAAUAUUGGACAAUGGGCGAAAGCCGGAUCCAGCCAUGCCGGGUGUGGGAAGAAGGCCUUCGGGUUGUAAAGCACUUUAAGUUGGGAGGCGUUACCAACAGAAUAAGCACCGGCUAACUGCGUGCCAGCCGCCGCGGUAUUC